rnacentral:rRNA from 1 species
CGCGGCCUUCAGCUUGUUGGUGGGGUAACGGCCUACCAAGGCAACGAUGGGUAGCUGGUCUGAGAGGAUGAUCAGCCACACUGGCACUGGAACACGGGCCAGACUCCUACGGGAGGCAGCGGUGAGGAAUAUUGGGCAAUGGGCGAAAGCCUGACCCAGCCACGCCGCGUGUGUGAUGAAGGCCUUCGGGUCGUAAAGCACUGUGGGGAGAGACGAACAUGCGCAGGAGGAAAUGCCUGCGUACUGACGGUACCUCCUUAGCAAGCACCGGCUAACUCUGUGCCAGCAGCCGCGGUAAUACAGAGGGUGCAAACGUUGCUCGGAUUUACUGGGCGUAAAGCGCGUGUAGGCGGACUCGCAAGUCGGUUGUGAAAUCCCUGGGCUUAACCUAGGAACUGCAUCCGAAACUGCUUGUCUUGAGUAAUGGAGAGGGUGGCGGAAUUCCCGGUGUAGAGGUGAAAUUCGUAGAUAUCGGGAGGAACAUCAGUGGCGAAGGCGGCCACCUGGACAUUUACUGACGCUGAGACGCGAAAGCGUGGGGAGCAAACAGGAUUAGAUACCCUGGUAGUCCACGCCGUAAACGAUGAGAACUAGGUGCAGCGGAUAUUGACCUCUGCUGUGCCGUAGCUAACGCGUUAAGUUCCCCGCCUGGGGAGUACGG